rnacentral:rRNA from 1 species
UACGAAGGGGGCUAGCGUUGUCCGGAAUUACUGGGCGUAAAGAGCUCGUAGGUGGUUUGUCGCGUUGUUCGUGAAAACCGGGGCUUAACCCUCGGCGUGCGGGCGAUACGGGCAGACUUGAGUACUGCAGGGGAGACUGGAAUUCCUGGUGUAGCGGUGGAAUGCGCAGAUAUCAGGAGGAACACCGGUGGCGAAGGCGGGUCUCUGGGCAGUAACUGACGCUGAGGAGCGAAAGCGUGGGGAGCGAACAGG